rnacentral:rRNA from 1 species
UACAGAGGGUGCAAGCGUUAAUCGGAAUCACUGGGCGUAAAGGGCGCGUAGGUGGCGCGACAAGUCAACGGUGAAAGCCCGGGGCUCAACCCCGGGUCGGCCGUCGAUACUGUUGGGCUUGAGCACUGUAGAGGCAGAUGGAAUUCCGGGUGUAGCGGUGGAAUGCGUAGAGAUCCGGAAGAACACCGGUGGCGAAGGCGGUCUGCUGGGCAGUAGCUGACACUGAUGCGCGACAGCGUGGGGAGCAAACAGG